UGAUGCUUAAUCCGGAACAGUCCCCAAAAUGGUUUACGUUUGUCCAUUAUCAGAGAGACAGAGGUAGGGUCACCUCUGGAGAAGAGAACUAGAUCAUCUGCAUAGGCCAGAUGUGAAAUUUUUAACCCCCCACACCUCGGAUGGAAGUUGAAAUCUGGGUUAUGCUUCAAGUCCCCCAAACUUCUGGAUAAAUAUGUCAAGGCAAAGCACAAAAAGAUCGGGGAUAAAGGAUCACCCU
rnacentral:lncRNA from 1 species